rnacentral:rRNA from 1 species
UACAGAGGGGGCAAGCGUUGUUCGGAAUUACUGGGCGUAAAGGGCGCGUAGGCGGCCUGUUAAGUCAGACGUGAAAUCCCUCGGCUCAACCAGGGAACUGCGUCUGAUACUGGCGGGCUUGAAUUCGGGAGAGGGAUGUGGAAUUCCAGGUGUAGCGGUGAAAUGCGUAGAUAUCUGGAGGAACACCGGUGGCGAAGGCGGCAUCCUGGACCGACAUUGACGCUGAGGCGCGAAAGCCAGGGGAGCAAACGGG